rnacentral:rRNA from 1 species
GCAUCUGUGCAUGCAGCAUAUCAAUAAGCGGAGGAAAAGAAACUAACAAGGAUUCCCCUAGUAACGGCGAGUGAAGCGGGAAGAGCUCAAAUUUGAAAUCUUAAAGGGUUUCCCUUUACGAAUUGUAGUUUAAAGAAGUGUUUUCUGUUGAGGUUUUGGUAAAAGUUCUUUGGAAUAGGACAUCAUAGAGGGUGAGAAUCCCGUAUUUGACCUUUACUUUCAACUUUGUGAUACACUUUCAAAGAGUCGGAUUGUUUGGGAAUGCAGUCCAAAAUGGGUGGUAAAUUUCAUCUAAAGCUAAAUAUUGGCGAGAGACCGAUAGCGAACAAGUACCGUGAGGGAAAGAUGAAAAGAACUUUGAAAAGAGAGUUAAACAGUACGUGAAAUUGUCAAAAGGGAAGCGUUUGACACCAGUGUUGUUUUUCUGAAAAUCAAUUAAAGAACUGUUUAUGCUAAGCUGUUUAGACUUUAUCAGCUAAUCUGUUUAGUUUUGAGCUUUUCUUUAAUGCACUUUUCAGUUAACAAGUCAACAUCAAUUUCUUUUGCUGUAAAAAAGCUUGAGGAAGGUGGCUUGAGAUUCGUCUUAAGUGUUUAUAGCCUCUUGCCUAUGCAGUCGGAGAGAUUGAGGUCUGCAGCGUAGAUCCUUCGGGGCUAAAUGCAUUUGUGCUAAGUUAUAGCAUUUUAUAGACAACUUGUUGACUAUGAUUUGUCUUGUAGCUUACUCGCUUAUGUUAUUUUACCUACGCUUAGGAUGUUGAAUCUGUGCGAGACUAC